CCAACUUCCCCAGGUAGGCAACGAUCAUAUUGCCAUAUAUAAUCAAUUUUUAAAACUCUUAGCAUUCUGAAAUUCUCAAAAAUGAACCUUGCUUGCUGCCUUGUCAUAUUGUACACACUUCCACGACCAUAGAUCUUUCUCAUAUCAGGUUCAAUCAAAUAGAAAGGAGACCGGAGAUACAAAUCACCACUUUUUAGUAUCUUUCUGAUAGCAGGUUCAAUCAAAUAGAAAAGAGACCGGAGAUACAAAUCACCACUUUUUAGUGAAGGCACAUAGAAGUCCGUUUUGCGUCCAUCUUUCCCGAAAAUGCGAGGAUGAAUAGCAACUCUACGCCACUUAUUAUUUGAUGUCAACUGCAGAGUGGAUGAACUACUAUUUGCCUUUGCG
rnacentral:lncRNA from 1 species